rnacentral:rRNA from 1 species
CCUACGGGAGGCAGCAGUGAGGAAUAUUGGUCAAUGGACGAGAGUCUGAACCAGCCAAGUAGCGUGAAGGAUGACUGCCCUAUGGGUUGUAAACUUCUUUUAUAAAGGAAUAAAACGAGGCACGUGUGCCUUUUUGCAUGUACUUUAUGCAUAAGGAUCGGCUAACGCCGUGCCAGCAGCCGCGGUAAUACGGAGGAUCCGAGCGUUAUCCGGAUUUUUUGGGUUUAAAGGGCGCGUAGAUGGGUUGUUAAGUCAGUUGGGAAAGUUUGCGGCUCAACCGUAAAAUUGCAAUUGAUACUGGCAGUCUUGAGUACAGUUGAGGUAAGCGGAAUUCGUGGUGUAGCGGUGAAAUGCUUAGAUAUCACGAAGAACCCCGAUUGCGAAGGCAGCUUACUGAACUGUGACUGACGUUGAUGCUCGAAAGUGUGGGGAUCAAACAGGAUUAGAUACCCUGGUAGUC